rnacentral:rRNA from 1 species
GACAGAGGUGCCAAGCGUUAGGCGGAAUCACUGGGCUUAAAGCGUGUGUAGGCGGACUCGUAAGUACCUUGUGAAAUCCCACAGCUCAACUGUGGAACUGCUCGGUAUACUGCUUGUCUUGAGCCACUUAGGGGCUGUCGGAACAAACGGUGGAGCGGUGAAAUGCGUAGAUAUCGAGAGGAACACCUGCGGCGAAGGCGGGUUGCUGGGCUGACACUGACGCUGAGGCGCGAAAGCGUGGGGAGCAAACAGG